rnacentral:lncRNA from 1 species
ACCGAGAUGAGAGUUUAGGUCAAAGGCAGAAUUAAAUUUAAAAUGAAACAUAUCCCAAAUAAUACAAGAUUACAACAUCAUAAAGAUAUAUAAAUUAAAUUAUAAAAGGUUAGUUAUGAUUUUCGACUUGAUAAGAUUGUAAUUAAUUAUAACCAAUUAGUACAUGUCUGGUUGAUUAAUCUAGGAAAAUAUCGAUGUUCAGAAUAUCAAUUAUAAUGCAAGUAAUUUAUAUUUGAUAGAGUGAAAGUAUAUAAUUUUAUAUGCAAUUAAGUGAAAGUAUAUAACUACUUGGGAAGAAAAAAAAACCAAACAAGUAGAUGAGUGCUUGGCGUAAGAUGUGAUGAGUGAUAUAUCAUUGAAGGGGCUGUCUGUAAAAAGCUGGUAGCUCCAUUGAUGAUCGUAUUUUCUCGGGGCACUGACAGAACCUCGGCUUGUCGUUGAAAGUGUAGUUUCUCUCCUUAUCCCGAUCUGCAUGCUUGGCGUUUCCUCUCAUCUCCUCCCCUCUCAAUCCCCAUAUAAUAAAAUUACUCUCUCCGACGCUACCUUUCACACUAUUAUUGUGAAAGCAACUACUGGUUUAACCACUUGCAUGAAAUGAAAUGACAAAUCAUUGGAGGAGACAUUACUUAAUUGAAUCGCUAAAUCCAACAUGAUAACCAAAUACCAUGCAUAGGUAAGGUAGGUAGGUAGG